rnacentral:tRNA from 1 species
GGGUAGAUGUCCGAGUGGUUAAAGGAGGAAGACUGUAAAUCUUCUGGCUCUGCCUACGUUGGUUCAAAUCCAACUCUGCCCA